rnacentral:rRNA from 1 species
UACGGAGGGGGCUAGCGUUGUUCGGAAUUACUGGGCGUAAAGCGUGCGCAGGCGGUCUCUUAAGACAGGUGUGAAAUCCCCGGGCUUAACCUGGGAACUGCGCUUGUAACUGGGAGGCUUGAGUGUGCCAGAGGGGGGUGGAAUUCCACGUGUAGCAGUGAAAUGCGUAGAGAUGUGGAGGAACACCGAUGGCGAAGGCAGCCCCCUGGGCUAACACUGACGCUCAUGCACGAAAGCGUGGGGAGCAAACAGG